rnacentral:rRNA from 1 species
UGAUCAGCCAUGCCGCGUGUGUGAAGAAGGCCUUUUGGUUGUAAAGCACUUUAAGCGAGGAGGAGGCUACCGAGAUUAAUACUCUUGGAUAGUGGACGUUACUCGCAGAAUAAGCACCGGCUAACUCUGUGCCAGCAGCCGCGGUAAUACAGAGGGUGCAAGCGUUAAUCGGAUUUACUGGGCGUAAAGCGCGCGUAGGUGGCCAAUUAAGUCAAAUGUGAAAUCCCCGAGCUUAACUUGGGAAUUGCAUUCGAUACUGGUUGGCUAGAGUAUGGGAGAGGAUGGUAGAAUUCCAGGUGUAGCGGUGAAAUGCGUAGAGAUCUGGAGGAAUACCGAUGGCGAAGGCAGCCAUCUGGCCUAAUACUGACACUGAGGUGCGAAAGCAUGGGGAGCAAACAGGAUUAGAUACCCUGGUAGUCCAUGCCGUAAACGAUGUCUACUAGCCGUUGGGGCCUUUGAGGCUUUAGUGGCGCAGCUAAC